CAAAUUAAAGUUUUUUUUAAAAAAUAUUUCAUUUACAUUGGAAAGAAAAUGAUUGUUCAUUUAAUUUGA
rnacentral:tRNA from 1 species